rnacentral:rRNA from 1 species
UACGAAGGGGGCUAGCGUUGCUCGGAAUCACUGGGCGUAAAGGGUGCGUAGGCGGGUCUUUAAGUCAGGGGGGAAAUCCUGGAGCUCAACUCCAGAACUGCCUUUGAUACUGAAGAUCUUGAGUUCGGGAGAGGUGAGUGGAACUGCGAGUGUAGAGGUGAAAUUCGUAGAUAUUCGCAAGAGCACCAGUGGCGAAGGCGGCUCACUGGCCCGAUACUGACGCUGAGGCACGAAAGCGUGGGGAGCAAACAGG